AACCAACCCCAGAGAGACCUAAUCGAUCGCAAUUUCCUCUCUUUCUCAUCAGCAAGCCAUCUUCAAUUUCUUUUCUCUCUUUUUACUUAGAUCACUCAUGAUCUCUAUUCCACUUUUCAAAUCAAGUAAUCUAUUUGUGUGUGUUCGAUUUAUGAAGAAUAACAACAAAAUCGCUUUUCGUUGUUUGGGGGCAUGACGAUGACAAGGGAAGGCUCGCCGACAAAAACACUCUCUGAUUUCAAAAGAGAGACGAUCACAUUCCGCUCUCACCGCUACAUGUCGUCGAAACUCAACAAAGCCCAAUAAGAAUAAGGAAUUCCAGCCCAUGACCAUAAUUGUCUCACAUUCAGCAGACACUACAAUUAUACAAGCUAUUGGCCAGCCAGACGUGAUAAGAACGAAACCGACGACGACAAUCCCUACGCCAUGCUUCCUGAUUUCCCGAGGAACCCACCACCGCCGGCGCUCCAUCACCAUUCGAUGUCCGCAUGGUUUCUAUGGGGGGUUCGUUCCGUUGCAGUUUAUCUUCUGAAGACGCACUCCGGUGAAUCGGACCUGUUCGCUACGGGAGCGCUUCUCUUUUUCCACGCGUACUGCAUCACUCUGCUUAAACUGAAUGUUAGUGACUUCGGCGUUUCCGGCGCUUUCAUGUCGCUCGCCUCAGCGUUCUCCGAGACUUUAAUGAAAAGUCCACACUUUAAACUCUUGAACUCAUUAAUAUGUUUUUAUGGUAAUUAUUU